rnacentral:lncRNA from 1 species
AGUGUUUUAAAGCUGUUUUUGAUGUACUCACUACAGCAUUCCCAGAGUAUGGUGACGCAGGUCAAGUCCAAUCCUACCUUACUGGCACAUAGGAUGGCCAAUGUCAGACACAGACGACAGGACAGACGCCCAGUUGACAGCACCAUCCCCAAGUCCAGGCUGAUUACCUGGGAGCCCUUGUAGGACUUUGUGAAGACCAGCCACAUGGUCAACACACCUGUACAGACCAUGCACAUCAUGGGGGACCUGGGACCAGCAGGCAAGUGAGUAGCACAAGGGGAAAAACCACUAUGUAGCCUAUACACUUAUUACACUGCUUUGUAUGUAAUAACUUUGAAGUAGAUUCCAAUUCAGGCAUUGAAAAGUGGCAUUUUAUUAUUGUAUUUCUCAGACUUGGCCAAAAGGAGAAGGAAUGCUUGUCUGCACGAUAAGAGCAGAUGGAAAUGGAGUGGUUACCAUCAACAAAGGCAAGGAGCACUACAGGCCAGUGACCUGCACCCGCUGAAGUCAAAAUAUUUUACCCCUAGCUCAAGUAAGGGUCACUUACUUGGUAGCAGAAUUGAUACAUUCCCAGCCAUUUACUGUGAUAUGAUGCUGUUUGUUUGCACCCAAGGUUGAGACGGAGGGGGAGAAGAGGGAGGUGUGGCGUCAGACCAGAGGAGACAGAACAGCAGCAGUGCAUAUAUUUUUUCACCUUUAUUUAACCAGGUAGGCAAGUUGAGAACAAGUUCUCAUUUACAAUUGCGACCUGGCCAAGAUAAAGCAAAGCAGUUCGACACAUACAACGACACAGAGUUACACAUGGAGUAAAACAAACAUACAGUCAAUAAUACAGUAUAAACAAGUCUAUAUACGAUGUGAGCAAAUGAGGUGAGAUAAGGGAGGUAAAGGCAAAAAAAGGCCGUGGUGGCAAAGUAAAUGCAAUAUAGCAAGUAAAACACUGGAAUGGUAGAUUUGCAAUGGAAGAAAGUGCAAAGUAGAAAUAAAAAUAAUGGGGUGUAAAGGAGCAAAAUAAAUAAAUUAAAUACAGUAGGGAAAGAGGUAGUUGUUUGGGCUAAAUUAUAGGUGUGCUAUGUACAGGUGCAGUAAUCUGUGAGCUGCUCUGACAGUUGGUGCUUAAAGCUAGUGAGGGAGAUAAGUGUUUCCAGUUUCAGAGAUUUUUGUAGUUCGUUCCAGUCAUUGGCAGCAGAGAACUGUAAGGAGAGGCGGCCAAAGAAAUAAUUGGUUUUGAGGGUGACUAGAGAGAUAUACCUGCUGGAGCGUGUGCUACAGGUGGGAGAUGCUAUGGUGACCAGCGAGCUGAGAUAAGGGGGGACUUUACCUAGCAGGGUCUUGUAGAUGACAUGGAGCCAGUGGGUUUGGCGACGAGUAUAAAGCGAGGGCCAACCAACGAGAGCGUACAGGUCGCAAUGGUGGGUAGUAUAUGGGGCUUUGGUGACAAAACGGAUUGCACUGUGAUAGACUGCAUCCAAUUUGUUGAGUAGGGUAUUGGAGGCUAUUUUGUAAAUGACAUCUCCAAAGUUUAGGAUUGGUAGGAUGGUCAGUUUUACAAGGGUGUGUUUGGCAGCAUGAGUGAAGGAUGUUUACAUUCUAACCAGACACCUAGGUAUUUGUAGUUGUCCACGUAUUCUAAGCCAGAGCCGUCCAGAGUAGUGAUGUUGGACAGGUGCAGGCAGCAAUCGGUUGAAGAGCAUGCAUUUAGUUUUACUUCUAUUUAAGAGCAAUUGGAGGCCACAAAGGAAGAGUUGUAUGGCAUUGAAGCUUGCCUGGAGGGUUGUUAACACAGUGUCCAAAGAAGGGCCAGAAAUAUACAGAAUGGUGUCGUCUGCGUAGAGGUGGAUCAGAGACUCACCAGCAGCGAGAGCGACAUCAUUGAUGUAAACAGAGAAGAGAGUCGGUCCAAGAAUUGAACCCUGUGGCACCCCCAUAGAGACUCCCAGAGGUCCGGACAGCAGACCCUCCGAUUUGACACAUUGAACUCUAUCAGAGAAGUAGUUGGUGAUCCAGGCGAGGCAAUCAUUUGAGAAACCAAGGCUGUCGAGUCUGCCGAUGAAGAUGUGGUGAUUGACAGAGUCGAAAGACUUGGCCAGAUCAAUGAAUAUGACUGCACAGUAAUGUUUCUUAUCAAUGGCGGUUAAGAUCGUUUAGGACCUUGACUACACUCAAUAAGUAGGAGUAACUUACAAAAAGCUCUGGACAUAGGUAUUUUUUUAUGACUUGAGGAGCCUGUUCUCGGCUAUACUGGUCUGCAUUUCUGCCAUGCUGUCUAUAUUUUCGGCCAU